CUAAUACAUGAACCAACGGGACGCUCUCUGUUCCGGCGGUGGGGCAACUCACCGCCAUGGGACGUCCAGCGAAUGAAUGAAAGUAAAAUCAAUGCCUUAACCGGCAGUAACACCCAGAAGUGUUGACUCAAUUCAUUCCGUGCGAAAGCCGGGUUUUACCCGGCGUCUUUUGACGAACAACUGCCCUAUCAGCCAGUGAUGGCCGUGUAGUGGACUGCCAUGGCGUUGACGGGAGCGGGGGAUUAGGGUUCGAUUCCGGAGAGGGAGCCUGAGAAAUAGCUACCACUUCUACGGAGGGCAGCAGGCGCGCAAAUUGCCCAAUGUCAAAAAAAACGAUGAGGCAGCGAAAAGAAAUAGAGCCGACGGUGCCUAGUGCAUUGUCGUAUUCAAUGGGGGAUAUUUAAACCCAUCCAAAAUCGAGUAACAAUUGGAGGACAAGUCUGGUGCCAGCACCCGCGGUAAUUCCAGCUCCAAAAGCGUAUAUUAAUGCUGUUGCUGUUAAAGGGUUCGUAGUUGAAUUGAGGGCCUUUGAGGCGCAAUGGUUUGUCCCGUCCACUUCGGAUUG
rnacentral:rRNA from 1 species